UACGAAGGGUGCAAGCGUUAAUCGGAAUUACUGGGCGUAAAGGGUGCGUAGGCGGUUGUUUAAGUCUGUCGUGAAAUCCCCGGGCUCAACCUGGGAAUGGCAUUUGGGACUGCAAGGCUGGAGUACGGCAGAGGAGACUGGAAUUCCUGGUGUAGCAGUGAAAUGCGUAGAUAUCAGGAGGAACACCGGUGGCGAAGGCGGGUCUCUGGGCAACAACUGACGCUGAGGAGCGAAAGCGUGGGGAGCGAACAGG
rnacentral:rRNA from 1 species